CCUACGGGAGGCAGCAGUAGGGAAUAUUGGUCAAUGGACGCAAGUCUGAACCAGCCAUGCCGCGUGCAGGAUGAAAGCCCUAUGGGUCGUAAACUGCUUUUAUAAGGGAAGAAACCCCUGGAUGCGUCCGGGGCUGACGGUACCUUAUGAAUAAGGAUCGGCUAACUUCGUGCCAGCAGCCGCGGUAAU
rnacentral:rRNA from 1 species